rnacentral:rRNA from 1 species
UGGGGAAUAUUGCACAAUGGGCGGAAGCCUGAUGCAGCAACGCCGCGUGCGGGAUGACGGCCUUCGGGUUGUAAACCGCUUUCGCCUGUGACGAAGCGUGAGUGACGGUAAUGGGUAAAGAAGCACCGGCUAACUACGUGCCAGCAGCCGCGGUGAUACGUAGGGUGCGAGCGUUGUCCGGAUUUAUUGGGCGUAAAGGGCUCGUAGGUGGUUGAUCGCGUCGGAAGUGUAAUCUUGGGGCUUAACCCUGAGCGUGCUUUCGAUACGGGUUGACUUGAGGAAGGUAGGGGAGAAUGGAAUUCCUGGUGGAGCGGUGGAAUGCGCAGAUAUCAGGAGGAACACCAGUGGCGAAGGCGGUUCUCUGGGCCUUUCCUGACGCUGAGGAGCGAAAGCGUGGGGAGCAAACA